GAGUUUGAUCCUGGCUCAGGGUGAACGCUGGCGGCGCGCCUAACACAUGCAAGUCGAACGGCACCCCUCUCCGGAGGGAAGCGAGUGGCGAACGGCUGAGUAACACGUGGAGAACCUGCCCCCUCCCCCGGGAUAGCCGCCCGAAAGGACGGGUAAUACCGGAUACCCCGGGGUGCCGCAUGGCACCCCGGCUAAAGCCCCGACGGGAGGGGAUGGCUCCGCGGCCCAUCAGGUAGACGGCGGGGUGACGGCCCACCGUGCCGACAACGGGUAGCCGGGUUGAGAGACCGACCGGCCAGAUUGGGACUGAGACACGGCCCAGACUCCUACGGGAGGCAGCAGUGGGGAAUCUUGCGCAAUGGGGGGAACCCUGACGCAGCGACGCCGCGUGCGGGACGGAGGCCUUCGGGUCGUAAACCGCUUUCAGCAGGGAAGAGUCAAGACUGUACCUGCAGAAGAAGCCCCGGCUAACUACGUGCCAGCCGCCGCGGUAAUUC
rnacentral:rRNA from 1 species